rnacentral:rRNA from 1 species
AGUGAACGCUGGCGGUAGGCCUAACACAUGCAAGUCGAACGGCAGCACAGUAAGAGCUUGCUCUUACGGGUGGCGAGUGGCGGACGGGUGAGGAAUACAUCGGAAUCUACUUUUUCGUGGGGGAUAACGUAGGGAAACUUACGCUAAUACCGCAUACGACCUACGGGUGAAAGCAGGGGAUCUUCGGACCUUGCGCGAUUGAAUGAGCCGAUGUCGGAUUAGCUAGUUGGUGGGGUAAAGGCCCACCAAGGCGACGAUCCGUAGCUGGUCUGAGAGGAUGGUGAACCAACAUGGAAGGGAUAACCCGUCCAGCAGACUACGGGAGGCAGCAGGGGUGAAUAGUAGAACACGGGGGGCAGACGGAUACAGCCGCAACGCGGGGGGGAAGAAGGCCGUCGGGUGGUUAAGCCCCUCUGUUGGGAAAGAAAAACAGCAGGCUAAUAACCCGCUGUUUUGACGGUACCUAAAGAAGAAGCACCGGCUAACUUCGUG